GGAAAUGUGGCUUAGUGGUAGAGUGCUUGCCUAGCAUACAUGAGGCCAUAGGUUUGAUUCCUCAGUACCA
rfam:Dipodomys ordii contig_51096, whole genome shotgun sequence.